ACUCAAAGGAAUUGACGGGGGCCCGCACAAGCGGUGGAGCAUGUGGCUUAAUUCGUCACUAACCGAAGAACCUUACCAGGGUUUGACAUCUGUGGAAUCCGGAUGAAAGUCUGGAGUGCCUCGUAAGAGGAGCCGCAAGACAGGUGUUGCAUGGCUGUCGUCAGCUCGUGUCGUGAGAUGUUGGGUUAAGUCCCGCAACGAGCGCAACCCUCAUCAGAUGUUGCCAGCGUAAAGUCGGGAACUCUUCUGAAACUGCCCGUGUAAGCGGGAGGAAGGUGGGGAUGACGUCAAGUCGGCAUGGCCCUUACGCCCUGGGCUGCACACAUGCUACAAUGGUCGUUAACAAAGGGUUGCGAAACCGCGAGGUGGAGCUAAUCUCAGAAAUACGGCCCCAGUUCGGAUUGCAGUCUGCAACUCGACUGCAUGAAUGUCGGAAUCGCUAGUAACCGCAGGUCAGCUAAACUGCGGUGAAUACGUUCCCGGGCCUUGUACACACCGCCCGU
rnacentral:rRNA from 1 species